UGGGGAAUAUUGCACAAUGGGCGCAAGCCUGAUGCAGCCAUGCCGCGUGUGUGAAGAAGGCCUUCGGGUUGUAAAGCACUUUCAGCGAGGAGGAAGGUGGUGAGCUUAAUACGCUCAUCAAUUGACGUUACUCGCAGAAGAAGCACCGGCCAACUCCGUGCCAGCAGCCGCGGUAAUACGGAGGGUGCAAGCGUUAAUCGGAAUUACUGGGCGUAAAGCGCACGCAGGCGGUUUGUUAAGUCAGAUGUGAGAUCCCCGGGCUCAACCUGGGAACUGCAUUUGAAACUGGCAAGCUAGAGUCUCGUAGAGGGGGGUAGAAUUCCAGGUGUAGCGGUGAAAUGCGUAGAGAUCUGGAGGAAUACCGGUGGCGAAGGCGGCCCCCUGGACGAAGACUGACGCUCAGGUGCGAAAGCGUGGGGCAGCAAACAGGAUUAGAUACCCUGGUAGUCCACGCUGUAAAACGAUGUCGAUUUUGGAGGUUGUGCCCCUUGAGGCGUGGNUUCCGGAGCUAACG
rnacentral:rRNA from 1 species